rnacentral:lncRNA from 1 species
GAUUAGGAGAUAAAAAGGUUGAAGGAAACAGUUGAUUUCUCCAUUAUUGAAAUUGAUGACUUGGAGGCGGUUUCAAAAAGUAAGGAGAACUUUUUGGAGGAGGCAAUGAUGGAGGUCUCCUUGGAACAUGGGUUUGAUAAUUUUAAAAGCGAGGUGGAUUUUUUCGUUCCAUGAUCUCUCUUUGGAGAAUUUGGGUUUUGGAAGGUAGUGGUUAAUGAGAGGCUAGUAGAUAAAGUCAUCUCACCAAACACGUGUGUUUGGACCAAAUGAG